GCUGGCGGCGUGCUUAACACAUGCAAGUCGAACGGAAAGGCCCUGCUUUUGUGGGGUGCUCGAGUGGCGAACGGGUGAGUAACACGUGAGUAACCUGCCCUUGACUUUGGGAUAACUUCAGGAAACUGGGGCUAAUACCGGAUAGGAGCUCCUGCUGCAUGGUGGGGGUUGGAAAGUUUCGGCGGUUGGGGAUGGACUCGCGGCUUAUCAGCUUGUUGGUGGGGUAGUGGCUUACCAAGGCUUUGACGGGUAGCCGGCCUGAGAGGGUGACCGGCCACAUUGGGACUGAGAUACGGCCCAGACUCCUACGGGAGGCAGCAGUGGGGAAUAUUGCACAAUGGGCGGAAGCCUGAUGCAGCAACGCCGCGUGCGGGAUGACGGCCUUCGGGUUGUAAACCGCUUUCGCCUGUGACGAAGCGUGAGUGACGGUAAUGGGUAAAGAAGCACCGGCUAACUACGUGCCAGCAGCCGCGGUGAUACGUAGGGUGCGAGCGUUGUCCGGAUUUAUUGGGCGUAAAGGGCUCGUAGGUGGUUGAUCGCGUCGGAAGUGUAAUCUUGGGGCUUAACCCUGAGCGUGCUUUCGAUACGGGUUGACUUGAGGAAGGUAGGGGAGAAUGGAAUUCCUGGUGGAGCGGUGGAAUGCGCAGAUAUCAGGAGGAACACCAGUGGCGAAGGCGGUUCUCUGGGCCUUUCCUGACGCUGAGGAGCGAAAGCGUGGGGAGCGAACAGGCUUAGAUACCCUGGUAGUCCACGCUGUAAACGGUGGGUACUAGGUGUGGGGUCCAUUCCACGGGUUCCGUGCCGUAGCUAACGCUUUAAGUACCCCGCCUGGGGAGUACGGCCGCAAGGCUAAAACUCAAAGGAAUUGACGGGGCCCCGCACAAGCGGCGGAGCAUGCGGAUUAAUUCGAUGCAACGCGUAGAACCUUACCUGGGUUUGACAUGGAUCGGGAGUGCUCAGAGAUGGGUGUGCCUCUUUUGGGGUCGGUUCACAGGUGGUGCAUGGCUGUCGUCAGCUCGUGUCGUGAGAUGUUGGGUUAAGUCCCGCAACGAGCGCAACCCUUGUUCACUGUUGCCAGCACGUUAUGGUGGGGACUCAGUGGAGACCGCCGGGGUCAACUCGGAGGAAGGUGGGGAUGACGUCAAGUCAUCAUGCCCCUUAUGUCCAGGGCUUCACGCAUGCUACAAUGGCUGGUACAGAGAGUGGCGAGCCUGUGAGGGUGAGCGAAUCUCGGAAAGCCGGUCUCAGUUCGGAUUGGGGUCUGCAACUCGACCUCAUGAAGUCGGAGUCGCUAGUAAUCGCAGAUCAGCAACGCUGCGGUGAAUACGUUCCCGGGGCUUGUACACACCGCCCGUCAAGUCAUGAAAGUUGGUAACACCCGAAGCCGGUGGCCUAACCGUUGUGGGGGAGCCGUCGAAGGUGGGACUGGUGAUU
rnacentral:rRNA from 1 species